rnacentral:rRNA from 1 species
AGCAGUAGCCACGGGAAUACGAAGGGGGCUAGCGUUGCUCGGAAUCACUGGGCGUAAAGGGUGCGUAGGCGGGUUUCUAAGUCAGGGGUGAAAUCCUGGAGUUCAACUCCAGAACUGCCCUUGAUACUGGAAGUCUUGAGUAUGGGAGAGGUGAGUGGAACUGCGAGUGUAGAGGUGAAAUUCGUAGAUAUUCGCAAGAACACCAGUGGCGAAGGCGGCUCACUGGCCCACAACUGACGCUGAGGCACGAAAGCGUGGGGAGCAAACAGGAUUAGAUACCCGCGUAGUCCCUGUCUCUUAUAA